CAGUCGCCACGGUAAUACGAAGGGUGCAAGCGUUAAUCGGAAUUACUGGGCGUAAAGCGCACGUAGGCGGCUUGGUAAGUUAGAGGUGAAAGCCUGGAGCUCAACUCCAGAAUUGCCUUUAAGACUGCCGAGCUAGCAGGUGAGAGAGGUAAGUGGAAUUCCGAGUGUAGAGGUGAAAUUCGUAGAUAUUCGGAAGAACACCAGUGGCGAAGGCGGCUUACUGGCUCAUACUGGACGCUGAGGUGCGAAAGCGUGGGGAGCAAACAGGAUUAGAUACCCCUGUAGUCCCUGUCUCUUAUAC
rnacentral:rRNA from 1 species